rnacentral:rRNA from 1 species
UACGUAGGGUGCGAGCGUUGUCCGGAAUUAUUGGGCGUAAAGAGCUUGUAGGCGGUUUGUCGCGUCUGCCGUGAAAUUUCGAGGCUCAACCUCGAACUUGCGGUGGGUACGGGCAGACUAGAGUGUGGUAGGGGAGACUGGAAUUCCUGGUGUAGCGGUGAAAUGCGCAGAUAUCAGGAGGAACACCGAUGGCGAAGGCAGGUCUCUGGGCAUUACCUGACGCUGAGGAGCGAAAGUGUGGGGAGCGAACAGG